GGUUGUGGCUCAGUGGUAGAGCGCUUGUCUUGCAUGUGUGAGGCACUGGGUUCAAUUCUCAGCACCA
rnacentral:tRNA from 1 species